rnacentral:rRNA from 1 species
AGGGUGUAAACGCUGCAGACUUGGUGUUGGAAAUCCUUCGAGGGUAUUCAGUGCCGGAGAGAAGUUGUUAAGUCUGCUACUUGGGGAGUACGUCCGCAAGGAUGAAACUUAAAGGAAUUGGCGGGGGAGCACCGCAACGGGAGGAGCGUGCGGUUUAAUUGGAUUCAACACCGUAAACUCACCAGGGAAGACUGUUACAUGAAGGCCGAGAUGAAGACUCUGCUAGAUUUUCAGAGAGGAGGUGCAUGGCGUCAGUGACU